UUGGUUUGCCUAAACUAUGCCCCGGCACAGCUUUCCCCCAAUAGGGGUGCAACCCCAUGAUACUGUAAAAAAAAAAAAAAAGAGUAAGUACACUGAUAAAAAAAAACACAUCCUGUAGAAAUUUCAUAUAAAGCUACCUAGAGUAGAAAAGUGGGUUUGACCCUGAUACCGAGGAUACAUAUCAAGAGAAUUUCCUACCUCCCAAUCCACUAGGGCAAAAAGUUAAGAAUCUUUCCAAGAACCAUCAUGAGAUUUGCCCUAGAUGAUUAGAAGAGGAGACUUAGCUCAAGCAAAAACAUAAUACCAACCCCUAAGAGGGGAGCCUUUAUCACCUGAAAAGCUCAUUCGUUGGGGAAAAGUUGUGCCAGGGCACAGUUCAGGCAAAUCAAUAUAUAUCUCAAGAAAUGAUGCAAUGGUAACCUAAUGCCAUAACGAAAAAAAAAAUCAAGAUGAAAGGUAACAACCCUACGAGGAUGUUGGCUGGCGAGCUCACCAAUUUGCGAUUUUCUAAGUUCAACUAAACUUGGGAUUUCAUAUUUGACUCUAAAAGAUGAAAUGGACUUUUCAGAAAUUGUAUUCCCCAUCUCAUCGAUGGACCAGUCGGUGCUAGAUUGGAGGUUAGUUUAGUUAACGGGAACAAACAAUGCAGAAAUAAAAUUUAGAACAAGGGGUGGUUGGUCGGAUGAUAUAUGAUAGUAAUCACAUCAUCUUCAAAGUAUUCAUGCUAAAAAGAAUUAGAGUUAUUUUCAUAAUCAGAAGACAUUGAAAUUUCUAAAAAUAGAGAGAAAAGAAAAGACACUCACCAAGGAAAGUGAAAGCCAAAAGAUUGAAACUCCACACGAUGGGCGAAUGGUGCAAAGGAUGGUUUAUAUAGAAAUGGGUAGAAAGAGAAAUAAUUUGAGCUCUUAUGAUUCUGGUUCUGGUGGAAAAAAAAAACUAAGAGCUGGGGAGCAACUGUUGUAGAAAAUAUAAAAAACCAAUAAAGGUAUGCGGUAAAAAGGGACGCUCCUUAAGAAUAAAGAGCAUAUUGAGAGUACGCUCCCAAUAAUAAGGAGCAAGAGUCAUGCUCCUUAAGAAGUAAAACCAUGCUCCUCCAAGAAUGGAGAGUUAGGAACUAUCUCCCCCAAGAAUGAGGAGCAGGAGUCAUGGUUCCUAGGAAUGGAGGAUAGCAAGAUUAUAACUCAUAAGGGGCCCUUGACCUAGUUUUAGAUUAUGGACCACAAAGAAAAAAAUCAAGUCUAAAUAAAGGGGAUAUUAUUGAAUCAAGCCCAGCAAGAUAAAAGUCAACAAUGGAGGACAUUGUUUGGUCCAGAAGUAAAUUAAAUAAAAUUUGACACGGGUAUAACCUAUAAAAAAAAGAUAGAGAUAUUUUGUAAUUCAAAUCUGAGGGGAUAGAGGAGAAUUAGGUAGAGUUUAAGUUAGAAAAUGAUUUUAUUUGUAGAACGCUAUAAAGGCAAAGGUCCUGAUUGGAUGGGGACGAGCACUAAAUAAGUAGUAAAGAGAGGGAAAGUUGAAUUGUAAUCACGAUCUUAAUAAAAGAUUUAUUUUCUCUCCGAAUCACGUUAAUUCACUGUAUCUUUUUAUUAUAUCCCUCCAUCUAAAUUAAUUCUCUAGUUGACUGAAAAUUUGCAUCAACAAGAAGCAUUUUUUUAACUUAAUGAUUUAAUUGACUUAAUUUUAAUUAGUUAAGUUGUUAAGUUUAUUUGUUUCUUUAGCUUAAUAAAAGUUUUCUAUCAUUAAGCCACUAAAUUAUUAAGUCAGCUUUUAGCUUUUUGUUUAAUUUAAAGUUUGAAUGACAUCAAUCAAAAGAUAUUCUUCAAAAUAUUCCUAUUUAAUUAAUUUGUUUUAUCCUAUCUAAAUAAAACUUACUGAUUAACAUUAAUAUUUUUCUCCAUAACUUAUGAUAAUAUAAUAACAGAUUAUUGUUAUAUUAUUUUUUUUUAUAUUCUUCAAAUUAACAUUAUUUAUCUUUACAACUUUUUAUGAAUACAUUUCAUACAGUAUAUCAUAAAACUACAAUAAAAUUGAUUAAUAUAUUCUAAUUAGAAUAUUAAAGGAUUAUAAUCACUUGAACAUAAUUUUUGUUAUGUUAAAAUAACAUUGUAAUUAUGUUCGUUGAGAUAUUUAUUAAUUAUUUAACACUUAAAAUUUAUAUUUUCAUACUUGUUAGCUGGAAAAUAAUUUAAUAGUUAUUAUUAGAGAUUCAAACUAAAAAAUAAAUAUGUCAAUUUAAGAGAAAAAAAUAAACGUCACCCUAGUGAAAAUGCACAAAAAAUUACUGUGUAGAGCACUUAUAUGGCUACUGAUAUGUCCCUUUGAAUAGAUUUAGCAGAUUGAGCCGAAGUCUUCUUAAAGCACUAAUGGGCUAGAAAAAAGUCGUGUUUCAACUUCUCAUGGUUCUAACGAAGAACAACUACAAACAGACCUAAGAAAAAAAAGAUAGAAUAAUACAUUACACACACAUACGUGAACUCUAAUAUACCACAAGAUAAAAUACAUUGACUUAAAAUAUGUGUUUUGUUUAUCUUUUAGUUGACACACACACACGAGAGAGCCACACUCAAAGAGUAUAGUGUGAGAGCCGAGAGACUCUCUGUAACAAAGGACUUCUCUAAUAGUUAUUAUUAAUUCUCUAGCUUAUAUUAAGUUGUUGUCUCUAUAAAUCAUAAUUCAAUCCUUUGUUCACUCUUUAUAUCAAUAAUUAUUGGGGCCAAUGCUUAUGUAUUUGCAUAUAUUGGCUAAGGCAACUAUGAUCUAGGUUUGCAUUAGGAGUUGAAGUGUCACUUUUUAGAAUAGAAUACUAGUUUGCUUUUUUAUUACAAAUUUUCCAUCAUUUUACAGGAAACAGCCGAUUACAAUGCUACUUUGUUUUAAGGCUUAAAAAAGCAAGCCUGUUGAGAGUGGGAUUGGAACCCACGCCCUUUCGGACCAGAACCUUAAUCUGGCGCCUUAGACCAACUC
rnacentral:lncRNA from 1 species